rnacentral:rRNA from 1 species
CGGAGCACCUUUAAUGGAGUUUUCGGACAACAGAGAGGGAUGCUCAGUGGCGGACGGGUGAGUAACGCGUGAGGAACCUGCCUUGGAGUGGGGAAUAACACAGUGAAAAUUGUGCUAAUACCGCAUGAAGCAGUUGAGUCGCAUGACUCUAACUGCCAAAGAUUUAUCGCUCUGAGAUGGACUCGCGUCUGAUUAGCUAGUUGGUGGGGCAAUGGCCCACCAAGGCGACGAUCAGUAGCCGGACUGAGAGGUUGACCGGCCACAUUGGGACUGAGAUACGGCCCAGACUCCUACGGGAGGCAGCAGUGGGGAAUAUUGGGCAAUGGGCGAAAGCCUGACCCAGCAACGCCGCGUGAAGGAUGAAGGCUUUCGGGUUGUAAACUUCUUUUAUCAGGGACGAAGAAAGUGACGGUACCUGAUGAAUAAGCCAUGGCUAACUACGUGCCAGCAGCCGCGGUAAUACGUAGGUGGCAAGCGUUAUCCGGAUUUACUGGGUGUAAAGGGCGUGUAGGCGGGACUGCAAGUCAGAUGUGAAAACUAUGGGCUCAACCCAUAGCCUGCAUUUGAAACUGUGGUUCUUGAGUGAUGGAGAGGCAGGCGGAAUUCCCUGUGUAGCGGUGAAAUGCGUAGAUAUA